rnacentral:rRNA from 1 species
GACGAACGCUGGCGGCGUGCUUAACACAUGCAAGUCGAACGAUGAUGCUGGAGCUUGCUCCAGUUGAUUAGAGGCGAACGGGUGAGUAACACGUGAGCAAUCUGCCCUUGACUCUGGGAUAACUGCGGGAAACUGUAGCUAAUACCGGAUACUUUCACCGGAAGGCUUCUUCUGGUGAUGGAAGAAUUUCGGUCAGGGAUGACCUCGCGGCCUAUCAGCUUGUGGGUGAGGUAACGGCUAACCAAGGGGACGACGGGUAACCGGCCUGCGAGGGUGACCGGUCACACUGGGACUGAGACACGGCCCAGACUCCUACGGGAGGCAGCAGUGGGGAAUAUUGCACAAUGGGCGCAAGCCUGAUGCAGCAACGCCGCGUGGGGGAUGAAGGCCUUCGGGUUGUAAACCUCUUUUAGCAGGGAAGAAGUGAAAGUGACGGUACCUGCAGAAAAAGCACCGGCUAACUACGUGCCAGCCGCCGCCAUAA